CUACGGGUUGCUGCAGUGGGGAAUAUUGGACAAUGGACCAAAAGUCUGAUCCAGCAAUUCUGUGUGCACGAUGACGGUUUUCGGAUUGUAAAGUGCUUUCAACAGGGAAGAAGUUCUGACGGUACCUGUAGAAGAAGCGACGGCUAAAUACGUGCCAGCAGCCGCGGUAAUACGUAUGUCGCAAGCGUUAUCCGGAUUUAUUGGGCAUAAAGGGCAUCUAGGCGGCUUAGUAAGUCUGAUGUGAAAAUGCGGGGCUCAACUCCGUAUUGCGUUGGAAACUACUAAGCUAGAGUAUUGGAGAGGUAGGCGGAACUACAUGUGUAGAGGUGAAAUUCGUAGAUAUAUGUAGGAAUGCCGAUGACGAAGGUAGCUUACUGGACAAUUACUGACGCUGAAGUGCGAAAGCUAGGGGAGCAAACAGGAUUAGAUACCCUCGUAGUC
rnacentral:rRNA from 1 species